GGCUCGAUGGCGGAUGGCCCGCACCUGCGUUCCGGGGGAAGUCAUCUGAAAAUUACGCAGGAGACCCCCGUUCGACUCGGGGUCGAGCCA